UACGUAGGGGGCGAGCGUUGUCCGGAAUUACUGGGCGUAAAGAGCUCGUAGGUGGUUUGUCGCGUUGUUCGUGAAAACUCACAGCUCAACUGUGGGCGUGCGGGCGAUACGGGCAGGCUAGAGUUCGGUAGGGGAGACUGGAAUUCCUGGUGUAGCGGUGAAAUGCGCAGAUAUCAGGAGGAACACCGGUGGCGAAGGCGGGUCUCUGGGCCGAUACUGACGCUGAGGAGCGAAAGCGUGGGGAGCGAACAGG
rnacentral:rRNA from 1 species